rnacentral:lncRNA from 1 species
UUAAAGAUUAUAAUUAGUCUAUGCAACGAAAUGGGAUAACAGCUGGUGACGGCAUGCAUGGGCUCUUUCAUCACUCUUCUCCCUUGAAGAAGACCGGGCGGUUAUUGAAUGGGCACAGGCGAAUCUUAGCCACCCUUACCACAGAUGAACACUUUGAGCACCAUGGAGUGGAUUGUUGGUAAUCUGUCCGAGUCUCACCCAAACCUGAGCAAAGUCGCUACAGUGGGAUUGCUUCUACCAACCUCCACAGCUGUUUGUGAGAGAGGUUUCAGCAGUUGAAUG